CGAUUCGUGUUGGUGGCAACUGAUUAUUUCACUAAAUGGUCUGAAGCAGUACCUCUCAAGAACAUGACACAUACGGAGGUGAUUCAAUUCAUAACCGAGCAUAUUAUUCAUAGAUUCGGUAUUCCUCAAACGUUAACUACAGAUCAAGGUUCAUCUUUUAUGUCACACCAAGUCAGAGAGUUUGCCGAAUCUUAUAAUAUAAAGUUGCUCAAUUCCUCUCCAUAUUAUGCCCAAGCUAAUGGACAAGCUGAGUCUAGCAAUAAAAUUUUAAUCAAGCUCAUCAAGAAGAAGAUUGAGGAUAAUCCAAGGAGAUGGCAUGACUUGUUGUCUGAGGCAUUAUGGGCACAUAGAAUCUCAAGGCAUGGUGCUACGAAAGUGACUCCAUAUGAGCUAGUAUAUGGUCAGGAGGCUGUUUUACCGGUGGAAGUAAAUUUGAAUGCUUUGAGAAUAGCCAAACAAAAUGAUUUAUCGGCAAUAGACUUCUAUAACUUGAUGAUGGACAACAUUGACGAGGUUGCUGAUAAACGUUUGGCUGCAUUGAAUGCCAUAGAGAGAGAUAAGUUGAGGGUAGCAAGGGCUUACAAUAAGAAAGUUAAGUUGAAGAAUUUUCAAGUUGGUGAUCUUGUCUGGAAAGUGAUUCUG
rnacentral:rRNA from 1 species